UGGACGAAUGCGGCAACGUUGCGAUAUUUCCUGCUUAAUAUUUUCAGCAUACAUUUCCAGCUGGUUGCAAGGACUUCUGUGGCAAGUUUGUUUUAUUACUUCCAUGCUCUAUGUCUUUGUUCAACUAUCCAAAAUUUGGUUUUGGGCUGUUUAGAAUUUAUUGUUCACAAAUCUGUCUUGUGCAAGUUUCUCUCUGUCUGUGUUUUAGGUUGAAGAUGGCCGAGAGAGGUAAGCCGUACAGUUACUGAUCUAGAAGCAUUAGGCAAGAGUGUCUGAGAACGAUGGUGUGAUCUGCAACACUGUCUUUUUUUAUUACUGAUUUAUUACUGACUAUCUAUUUCUUUCUUUGUUGUUAUUCAACAAGAGAGAACUCCCAUUAAUGGGAAUCAAAAGGAAUCCCUGAAAUCAUGUUUUGAGGAUGGAAUGACACGAGUUGGUUCAGAAUUAUUACCAAGAGCUGCAUCAGCUACUGGUUUGGACACCAGUGUCGUAGAAAUAAGAACUGGAUAGGUAAUUACAAAAGAUCACAAAUGACUAAUGCUUCGUCUGAGCCCCGGUCAUCAAAGGCCAAAGUUCACAUUAGAGAGCUGUCGCCUUACAAUCUUUUUUAUAGGGACAUAUUCAAAAACAAAGGCACAAUGAAUGAUAUUAAGGAAGAUGCAAAGCAAAAAUACAUUCAAGAGGCAGCAGCACUGAGGGCACAUGGGUAGGCACAGGACCUAAACCCUGAGGUGAGGGAUGCCCGAAUUACAAUGCACUUAAAGAAGCUGAAGUUAGAGGUUUGGAAACAGGAUUCAUUUGUUAUUUUCAUUCACCCCAAUUUUUAUUUAUUGUUGUUUGUUGGCACCAUCAAUGUGUUCUCCUUUAUAUAGGACUUAUGUGGGGACCAA